UACGUAGGGUGCGAGCGUUAAUCGGAAUUACUGGGCGUAAAGCGUGCGCAGGCGGUUCGUUAAGUUCGAUGUGAAAGCCCCGGGCUCAACCUGGGAACUGCAUUGGAAACUGGCGAGCUUGAGUGCGGCAGAGGGGGGUGGAAUUCCGCGUGUAGCAGUGAAAUGCGUAGAGAUGCGGAGGAACACCGAUGGCGAAGGCAGCCCCCUGGGCCGAACCUGACGCUGAGGCGCGAAGGCUAGGGGAGCGAACGGG
rnacentral:rRNA from 1 species